rnacentral:lncRNA from 1 species
CCAAAUUUGCAUAACUGGUUGCCUCCUUCACAUCCAAAUAUUCCUAGCGCCAUAUCCAGUAACUGGUGACAAAGCUGAGCAGCGCUUCGUUCACGUUCCUCACCUCGAAGAGUUGUCCAAGUUCAGUGAAUUAAGUGUUGUGUUUUACCAGCACACUUUCAUAAAAAUCCCGUCCAGUAUGAAACUCCAAUUUUUGCUGGUGCUUUUGGGGUUGUUUUUCCUUGGAGUGAAUGCUGCCGCCAGAGUCACAUCCCAUAAAUGUUCCUCAAACGUUGACUGUGCCGCGAAGUGUAUGACAAGAGAACUAUCGAGGUGCUCGGCAUCAAGGUGCGAAUGUCAACCCUAUUAAAGGCUACAUUUAUUCACCAUACCAUUCAUUAUGUUUAGACUUCAAGCCCCUGCAAAAUCCUAGAUCAGGCAUGGAAAUUUAUUGAUUCUGGAACUCGCCCUCGCACCGAUACUUCUGACAAGAUGAUACUCAUGAACAGCGGCUAAUUGCGAAAGGUCAAAUGAUGGAUUUCGUGGGGAUACUGGCUGUGAUAUGUACAAUUAGUGUGACCCUUGCAAUGGGCUUUACCGGAGGCGAUGACAGGUUCAUGAAAAAAUACGCUAUGAUGAAAGUGUAUGAAAGCUGUUUCGGAGCGGAGGUAGUGAAGGAGGUGCGGAAAGAGAUGAAAUUGGCGACGGCCAAGUGCAACGGCAUGAUGCCAACCACGUCUUCCAUCUACUCCUAUCAACCAUCAAACAAGCAUCAAACGCAAGCGCAAAUUGCCGCUGCACUUCACUCCAGCUCUCCGCUGAGGUUGGGCUCCUCGAAGCCUUCAAAUUCUGAUUUCUACACACAAGCGACAGCGUACAACGUGGCUCAACAACGACCGGUGUCCGCGUCACCAUCCAACAGUGAAUCCAGCGUGCAACACCUCCUCCAGCAGGCGUCCAACUCCCUCACCGGAAAUGGAAAUGAUCCGCUCAAAUCUGGUGGGAUCGACCUCAACAAAUUGCAGCAGGUCAUUCUGUCCGGCAUCAACAAGCAGUCACAGCAACAGCAACAACAACAACAGCAGCAGCAGGUGCAACAACCAUUGUUUAACUCGGCCUUGCUCCAACGGCCCUCGUACCAGACAGCAGCGGCGUCCCAACUGCGGCCGUACGUGCAACAGCCUUUACAACAGCCGUUGCAACAGCCCCUGCAACAGCCUCUGCAACAAUUUUCUCAAUAUCAGCAGCCGUUGCAGAACCCCAAUCUUUUAUAUCAAAACCCUGCACCUCUGACCAACGACCUGUUCCAGGCGCAGCAGCAAUCACUCUUCGGACCUCAGCAACCUUUGCAGCAGUACAACAACCCAUUCCUUUACCAGAGUCCUUUCUACAACCCAUACUUUUCCGCCAGAGCAUCGCGCGAUUUGGAUGUUAAAGGACAACUCGAGACACUGACGGCUAAAUUGACCGGAAAAGUAAAGAAUGUUACUUGUGUUAUGCAAGAAUUAGGAUACUUAGAUUCAAAUUUGGAGCCGGAUUAUGUAAAAAUGGUAGAGAGGAUAAACCGACUGCCAAUAUCGGAAGAGCUGAAAAGGGAUAUGGCUGAAGGCGUCGAAUACUGCCGGCAGUUUUCGCAAUGCGUGCCAGACUCGAGGAAAGACAAGCUAGCGAAAGAAAUGCUCCGACCUAUGUUCUUCUUCCGAUGUUAUAAGCAUAAAAAACUUGAGGCGUGUAUCAUGAAAGAUAUAAGAGAAAGGUAUUCCAACGGGAACGAAGAUUUCCUGGACGAGAACGUGCUGGGAGGCGGUGGCGACAUGCGCUCUAUGAAAAGCAGAAACCAGACUUUGGACGACGAACACAUGGAAGUAGCCAUUUAUGAGUUCCUUUACGGGGGUGACACUGCCCAGCUCGACUCACUUCUUUAG